AAUCCAAUAAACACAAAGGCAAAAGCGGAGAGAUUCAAAUUCGCCCAACAAUGGAGGCUUCACAAGGAGGAGACAAAUCGAACCCCCCGACUUCUUCUCCCAUUCCCGUCGUCUCCAAUUUCUGGAAAGAAUUUGAUUUGGAAAAGGAGAAAAGUUUGUUGGAUGAACAAGGACUUAAGAUAGCUGAAAAUCAGGAAAACAGUUUGAAAAACCGACGGAAGCUUGCAGAGAGUACUAGAGAUUUUAAAAAGGCUUCACC
rnacentral:misc_RNA from 1 species